GAAAUGCGAUAAUUAAUGUGAAUUGCAGAAUUCAGUGAAUCAGCGAGUCUUUGAACGCACAUUGCGCCCCCUGGUAUUCCGGGGGGCAUGCCUGUCCGAGCGUCAUUGCUGCCCUCAAGCACGGCUUGUGUGUUGGGCUUCCGUCCCUGGCAACGGGGACGGGCCCAAAAGGCAGUGGCGGCACCAUGUCUGGUCCUCGAGCGUAUGGGGCUUUGUCACCCGCUCCCGUAGGUCCAGCUGGCAGCUAGCCUCGCAACCAAUCUUUUUAACCAGGUUGACCUCGGAUCAGGUAGGGAUACCCGCUGAACUUAAGC
rnacentral:misc_RNA from 1 species